rnacentral:rRNA from 1 species
GAUGAACGCUGGCGGCGUGCCUAAUACAUGCAAGUCGAGCGAGCAGACGAGGAGCUUGCUCCUCUGACGUUAGCGGCGGACGGGUGAGUAACACGUGGAUAACCUACCUAUAAGACUGGGAUAACUUCGGGAAACCGGAGCUAAUACCGGAUAAUAUAUUGAACCGCAUGGUUCAAUAGUGAAAGACGGUUUUGCUGUCACUUAUAGAUUGAUCCGCGCCGCAUUAGCUAGUUGGUAAGGUAACGGCUUACCAAGGCGACGAUGCGUAGCCGACCUGAGAGGGUGAUCGGCCACACUGGAAGUGAGACACGGUCCAGACUCCUACGGGAGGCAGCAGUAGGGAAUCUUCCGCAAUGGGCGAAAGCUUGACGGAGCAACGCCGCGUGAGUGAUGAAGGUCUUCGGAUCGUAAAACUCUGUUAUUCGGGAAGAACAAAUGUGUAAGUACCUAUGCACGUCUUGACGGUACCUAAUCAGAAAGCCACGGCUAACUACGUG